rnacentral:rRNA from 1 species
CCUACGGGAGGCAGCAGUGAGGAAUAUUGGUCAAUGGACGAGAGUCUGAACCAGCCAAGUAGCGUGAAGGAUGACUGCCCUAUGGGUUGUAAACUUCUUUUAUAUGGGAAUAAAAUGUUCCACGUGUGGGUUUUUGUAUGUACCCUAUGAAUAAGGAUCGGCGAACUCCGUUCCAGCAGCCGCGGUAAUACGGAGGAUUCGAGCGUUGUCCGGAUUUAUUGGGGUUAAAGGGAGCGUAGGUGGAUUGUUAAGUCAGUUGUGAAAGUGUGCGGCUCAACCGUAAAAUUGCAGUUGAAACUGGCAGUCUUGAGUACAGUAGAGGUGGGCGGAAUUCGUGGUGUAGCGGUGAAAUGCUUAGAUAUCACGAAGAACUCCGAUUGCGAAGGCAGCUCACUGGACUGCAACUGACACUGAGGCUCGAAAGUGUGGGUAUCAAACAGGAUUAGAUACCCGAGUAGUC